UACGUAGGGUGCGAGCGUUACUCGGAAUUACUGGGCGUAAAGCGUGCGCAGGCGGUUCUCCAAGUCCGUUGGGAAAGCCCCGGGCUCAACCUGGGAAUGGCAGUGGAAACUAGGGGACUGGAAUCUGGCAGAGGGGGGUGGAAUGCCGCGUGUAGCAGUGAAAUGCGUAGAGAUGCGGCGGAACACCGAUGGCGAAGGCAGCCCCCUGGGCUGAGAUUGACGCUCAGGCACGAAAGCGUGGGGAGCAAACAGG
rnacentral:rRNA from 1 species